rnacentral:sRNA from 1 species
ACCUGCCGCGGGUGCCGUGAACGGCGUCCGCGGCGGCAGACAGAAACCGUGCUCUGGGAAGAUUUGGGCACAUAAGGGCGUU